rnacentral:rRNA from 1 species
CUCCGUAGGGGUGACCUGCGGAGGGAUCAUUACCGAGUUUACAACUCCCAAACCCCUGUGAACUAUACCUCUUGUUGCCUCGGCGGUCGCCCCGGGCCCUCCAGCCCGGAACCAGGCGCCGCCGCAGGACCUCAAACUCUUGUUUAUACUAUGGUAUCUUCUGAGUAAAACACAAAUAAAAUCAAAACUUUCAACAACGGAUCUCUUGGUUCUGGCAUCGAUGAAGAACGCAGCGAAAUGCGAUAAGUAAUGUGAAUUGCAGAAUUCAGUGAAUCAUCGAAUCUUUGAACGCACAUUGCGCCCGCCAGUAUUCUGGCGGGCAUGCCUGUUCGAGCGUCAUUUCAACCCUCAAGCCUCACGGUUUGGUGUUGGGGAUCGGCCUUACCCGCCGUCCCCGAAAUCUAGUGGCGGUCUCGCUGUAGCAUCCUCUGCGUAGUAAUACACCUCGCACUGGAACGCGGCGCGGCCAAGCCGUUAAACCCCCAACUUCUGAAUGUUGACCUCGGAUCAGGUAGGAAUACCCGCUGAACUUAAGCAUAUCAAUAAGCCGGAGGAA